rnacentral:rRNA from 1 species
UACGGAGGGUGCAAGCGUUAAUCGGAAUUACUGGGCGUAAAGCGCACGCAGGCGGUCUGUCAAGUCGGAUGUGAAAUCCCCGGGCUCAACCUGGGAACUGCAUUCGAAACUGGCAGGCUAGAGUCUUGUAGCGGGGGGUAGAAUUCCAGGUGUAGCGGUGAACUGCGUAGAGAUCUGGAGGCAUACCGGUGGCGAAGGCGGCCCCCUGGACAAAGACUGACGCUCAGGUGCGAAAGCGUGGGGAGCAAACAGGAUUAGAUACCCUGGUAGUCCACGCCGUAAACGAUGUCGAUUUGGAGGUUGUGCCCUUGAGGCGUGGCUUCCGGAGCUAACGCGUUAAAUCGACCGCCUGGGGAGUACGGCCGCAAGGUUAAA